rnacentral:rRNA from 1 species
UACAGAGGUCCCGAGCGUUGUUCGGAUUCAUUGGGCGUAAAGGGUGCGUAGGCGGCGGGGUAAGUCUGAUGUGAAAUCCCGGAGCUCAACUCCGGAACUGCAUUGGAUACUGCCUUGCUUGAGUACUGGAGAGGGAACUGGAAUUUACGGUGUAGCAGUGAAAUGCGUAGAGAUGUGGAGGAACACCGAUGGCGAAGGCAGCCCCCUGGGUCAAAACUGACGCUCAUGCACGAAAGCGUGGGGAGCAAACAGG